CAGGACGACGCUGGCGGCGUGCCUAACACAUGCAAGUCGAGCGAGGAGAUCCUUCGGGAUGAUCCUAGCGGCGGACGGGUGAGUAACACGUGGGCAACCUGCCUCAUAGAGAGGAAUAGCCUUCCGAAAGGGAGAUUAAUACCUCAUAACAUUGCAGUUUCGCAUGGAACAGCAAUUAAAGGAGUAAUCCGCUAUGAGAUGGGCCCGCGGCGCAUUAGCUAGUUGGUGAGGUAACGGCUCACCAAGGCGACGAUGCGUAGCCGACCUGAGAGGGUGAUCGGCCACAUUGGGACUGAGACACGGCCCAGACUCCUACGGGAGGCAGCAGUGGGGAAUAUUGCACAAUGGGGGAAACCCUGAUGCAAGCAACGCCGCGUGAGUGAUGACGGCCUUCGGGUUGUAAAGCUCUGUCUUCAGGGACGAUAAUGACGGUACCUGAGGAGGAAGCCACGGCUAACUACGUGCCAGCAGCCGC
rnacentral:rRNA from 1 species